GCGGGUUGGGGUUGCCUUUUCACAUGCAGUCGAACGGCAGCACGAGAGAGCUUGCUCUCUUGGUGGCGAGUGGCGGAGGGUGAGUAAUAUAUCGGAACGUGCCCAGUAGCGGGGGAUAACUACUCGAAAGAGUGGCUAAUACCGCAUACGCCCUACGGGGGAAAGGGGGGGAUUCUUCGGAACCUCUCACUAUUGGAGCGGCCGAUAUCGGAUUAGCUAGUUGGUGGGGUAAAGGCUCACCAAGGCAACGAUCCGUAGCUGGUUUGAGAGGACGACCAGCCACACUGGGACUGAGACACGGCCCAGACUCCUACGGGAGGCAGCAGUGGGGAAUUUUGGACAAUGGGGGAAACCCUGAUCCAGCCAUCCCGCGUGUAUGAUGAAGGCCUUCGGGUUGUAAAGUACUUUUGGCAGAGAAGAAAAGGUAUCUCCUAAUACGAGAUACUGCUGACGGUAUCUGCAGAAUAAGCACCGGCUAACUACGUGCCAGCAGCCGCGGUAAUACGUAGGGUGCAAGCGUUAAUCGGAAUUACUGGGCGUAAAGCGUGUGUAGGCGGUUCGGAAAGAAAGAUGUGAAAUCCCAGGGCUCAACCUUGGAACUGCAUUUUUAACUGCCGAGCUAGAGUAUGUCAGAGGGGGGUAGAAUUCCACGUGUAGCAGUGAAAUGCGUAGAUAUGUGGAGGAAUACCGAUGGCGAAGGCAGCCCCCUGGGAUAAUACUGACGCUCAGACACGAAAGCGUGGGGAGCAAACAGGAUUAGAUACCCUGGUAGUCCACGCCCUAAACGAUGUCAACUAGCUGUUGGGGCCGUUAGGCCUUAGUAGCGCAGCUAACGCGUGAAGUUGACCGCCUGGGGAGUACGGUCGCAAGAUUAAAACUCAAGGAAUUGACGGGGACCCGCACAAGCGGUGGAUGAUGUGGAUUAAUUCGAUGCAACGCGAAAAACCUUACCUACCCUUGACAUGUCUGGAAUGCCGAGAAGAUUUGGCAGUGCUCGCCAAGAAAAACCGGAACCACAGGUGCUGCAUGGCUGUCGUCAGCUCGCGUCGUGAGAUUGUAGCUUAAGGUCCCGCAACGAGCCCCACCCGUUGUCAAUAAUGGCUAGUCACGAACCCACUCUCUAAUGAGAUCUGCCGGUGACAAACCGGAGAGAUGGAUUGACGCUCAGGUCCUCAGUGCCAUGAUGUGGGUAUGG
rnacentral:rRNA from 1 species